rnacentral:rRNA from 1 species
UACGAAGGGGGCUAGCGUUGCUCGGAAUCGCUGGGCGUAAAGCGCACGUAGGCGGAUUGUUAAGUCAGGGGUGAAAUCCUGGAGCUCAACUCCAGAACUGCCUUUGAUACUGGCGAUCUCGAGUCCGGGAGAGGUGAGUGGAACUGCGAGUGUAGAGGUGAAAUUCGUAGAUAUUCGCAAGAACACCAGUGGCGAAGGCGGCUCACUGGCCCGGUACUGACGCUGAGGUGCGAAAGCGUGGGGAGCAAACAGG